rnacentral:rRNA from 1 species
UAUCUCUGUAGAGUCUGCAUAUCAAUAAGCGGAGGAAAAGAAACUAACAAGGAUUCCCCUAGUAACGGCGAGUGAAGCGGGAAGAGCUCAAAUUUGAAAUCUUCAGGGUUCUACCUUGACGAAUUGUAGUUUAAAGAAGUGUUUUUGGUUAGAGGAGUAGUAAAAGUUCUUUGGAAUAGGACAUCAUAGAGGGUGAGAAUCCCGUAUUUGACUAUUCUUUCUAGCUUUGUGAUACACUUUCAAAGAGUCGGAUUGUUUGGGAAUGCAGUCCAAAAUGGGUGGUAAAUUUCAUCUAAAGCUAAAUAUUGGCGAGAGACCGAUAGCGAACAAGUACCGUGAGGGAAAGAUGAAAAGAACUUUGAAAAGAGAGUUAAACAGUACGUGAAAUUGUCAAAAGGGGAAGCGUUUGACACCAGUGUUGUUUUUCCGAAAAUCAAUUAAAAAUAUGAUUCAUGUCCAGUUAGUAUUGACCUUAUCAGCUUGCAUGUUAGUUUUGGGUCAUCUUUUUGAUGCACUUUUCGGUUAACAAGUCAACAUCAAUUUCCUUUGCUGUAAAAAGGUAGAAGGAAGGUGGCUUCAGUUUCGGUUGAAGUGUUUAUAGCCUUUAUGCUCUGCAGGUCGGAGAGAUUGAGGUCUGCAGCGUAGAUCCUUCGGGGCUAGAUACAGUUUAGUGCUAAGUUUAUAGCUUUGUCAUAGACAACAUUGUUGACUAUGUUUAGUCAUGUAGCUUACUCGUAAGAUAGCUAUUUUACCUACGCUUAGGAUGUUGAGCGCAUGUCUCUCUCU